rnacentral:rRNA from 1 species
GAUGAACGCUGGCGGCGUGCCUAAUACAUGCAAGUCGAGCGAACGGACGAGAAGCUUGCUUCUCUGAUGUUAGCGGCGGACGGGUGAGUAACACGUGGAUAACCUACCUAUAAGACUGGGAUAACUUCGGGAAACCGGAGCUAAUACCGGAUAAUAUUUUGAACCGCAUGGUUCAAAAGUGAAAGACGGUCUUGCUGUCACUUAUAGAUGGAUCCGCGCUGCAUUAGCUAGUUGGUAAGGUAACGGCCUACCAAGGCAACGAUGCAUAGCCGACCUGAGAGGGUGAUCGGCCACACUGGAACUGAGACACGGUCCAGACUCCUACGGGAGGCAGCAGUAGGGAAUCUUCCGCAAUGGGCGAAAGCCUGACGGAGCAACGCCGCGUGAGUGAUGAAGGUCUUCGGAUCGUAAAACUCUGUUAUUAGGGAAGAACAUAUGUGUAAGUAACUGUGCACAUCUUGACGGUACCUAAUCAGAAAGCCACGGCGAACUACGU